rnacentral:rRNA from 1 species
AUGAAAUCAUCAGCCCGUUUUCUGUUCCCGGUACAAUUCGUUGCCCACCCUGAGCGUGGCAUCAAAGUACAGGCCACCAUGGCCAUUGCUCUUCUGGCCCCGAUUGUAAGCACCAACAACAACCUCAUUGUUUCUUGUAGUGCCACAACUGGCUUCUUCCAUAUGCCCGAUGUUCGCUGCCUGGUGUGCAAACAGCUGCUACAACGGGUCCUUAUGUGGCUGUUUGCCGAAUAUUUUUUUAAGCCUUGUGUUCUAUCUUUAUGUCUCUCAAAAUUUCAGAAAAACAAAUCGUUUGAAUUGUGA